rnacentral:lncRNA from 1 species
CGCUCACAUGAUCAAAAUUGCGGGCGCGAGUACACGAGUCGACGCGAGUCAACGCGAGUUGGAAGAAUGAGCAAUUCAAAUUCCUAUUUCCAGGCCAUCGACGGCACCGAAAUGACUGCUUUUUAGGUUGUGUCCUAGGUAGUGUGCUGAAUCUGGCGGUCAAGGCUCGAUUGAAUUCUUCUAUGUGUGUGUCAUUCAAAAACCCUCUGUCUCAUCUCAUGAUGGUCUUUCUAUGAGGCCCGUAGUCAUGAAGUAGUCCCAAAUCAUAUUCUACCUAUA